AGAGUUUGAUCCUGGCUCAGGAUGAACGCUGGCGGCAUGCCUAAUACAUGCAAGUCGAACGAGAGGAAGGAGAGCUAGCUUUUCUAAAUCGAAUGGCGAACAGGUGAGUAACACGUAGGUAACCUGCCCAUGUGCCCGGCAUAACUACUGGAACCAGAUGCUAAAACCACAGAUGUAGCCGACAAACAUUUGACUGCUAUAAAAUUGGCUUUGGCCAUAAACAUGGAUGGACCUGCCCUGCAUUACCUGGAUGGAGAGGGAACGGGCCCCCCACCGCCACGAUGCAUACCCGACGUGAGAGAUCAGUAGCCCACAUUAGAAGUGAGACACGCACCAAACUCCUGCGAGAGGCAGCAGUAUGGGAAUUUUAGUCAACAGGGGGAACCAUGAACGAACAAUGGCGAGCGAGUGAGGAAGGUGUUGGGAUAAGUAAAGAUGUGUUGUAAGAGAAAAACGUCAUUCAUAGGGAAUGAAUGAAUGAGUGGAUUCGUAUCUUACCAAGAAAGUGCACUGAACUAACUACGCUAGCCAGCAGCCGUAGGUAAUAGGUAGCUGAGCGAUGCGUUUAUGCAUGGAAUGAUUGGGAAUAAAGGGCAGGUAGGUGGCAGAUUAAGUAUGGAGUAUACACAGGUAUGUGCGCUCACCCGAGUAGCGUCUGUGGAAAGUGAUCAGGUAGAUAACAGAAGAGGACGUUGGAACUCCAAUGUGUAGCAGUAAAAAUAUGUAGAUAUAUGCAAGAACACCGGUGGCGAAGGCGUCGGUUUUGUCUGGAUUUGAGCAGUGAAGCACGAAAGAGCGGGGAGCAAAUAGGACUAGAUUCCUUAGUAGUCCACGCCAUAAAUGAUGAGAAUUAGGUGUCGGGGGACUAACUCAGUGCCGCAGUUACCGCAAAUAGUUCUCCGCGUGAGGAGUAUGCCCGCAAGUGUGAUACUCAAAGGAAUCGACGGGGGCCCGCACAAGCGGUGGAGUAUGUGGUUUUAUUAGAAACAACGACGAACAUCCUUACCAGGCCUCGUCAUCCCUUGCAGAGGUAUAGAGAUGUAUGCCCGGUUAUCAAGGACACAGACGGUGCAUGGUUGUUGUGUAGUUAGUGUCGUGUAGAUGUUGGGUUAAGUCCCUCAACGAGCGCAACCCUUCUCAUAUGUUACUAACAUUGACAUUGAGCACUCAUAUCAGACUGCCGGUGAUAAACCGGAGGAAGGUGGGGAUGACGUCAAAUCAUCAUGCCCCUUAUGUCCUGGGCUACACACGUAAUACAAUGGCGUCUACAAAGAGCGGCAAGACCUGUGAAGGCAAGGCAAUCUCAUAAAGGCCGUCUCAGUUCGGAUUGAAGUCUGCAACCCGCCUUCAUGAAGUUGGAAUCGCUAGUAAUCGCGAAUCAGCAUGUCGCGGUGAAUACGUUCUCGGGCCUUGCACUCACCGCCCGUCAA
rnacentral:rRNA from 1 species